rnacentral:lncRNA from 1 species
UUUAUCAGAAAUGUUCUCUAAAAACUUCAGACUCAAAGUAGCUUUUAAAAUAUCAGAAAUAUCCUAUUUCUUUAUAAGUUGAAAACAUGAUUUGAAAUAGAAAGUUCCCUUAGUUAUUUUAGCUUGAUUGUGGGGUUCUUCUUGCUUUUGAUUCUGGUUUUGAAGCUUGAUUAUGAGGGAUGUGGAAGCUGUCUGGUUUACUGUUGUUGUGCUCGCUCUCUGAAAUAGUAUUCUCAAUCUCAUCUCAUUUGGUUACAUUAGUUUCAAGGUACACAUAGCUAUUCCUUUUAUUGACUCCUAUGUAUUUGAAAUUUUCUGAUUGAAUGUGAUUUGUCUCACUCUCUUGACUAUGGUUGUGCCUUUUCAUGUUAUUUUACAGUUGAAAAUAAUCUUUCCCUUAGAAAAAUACUUUAAAAUCUCUUCACUUUUGUCUGUCUCUUAAAUCUCAGCUUCUUUAUUAGAUUUGGUUACUAACUAUGUGAAGUUAUUUAUACCUUUCCUUCUUAGUCAAAACCUGCCUAGCCCCCACCCUGGAAACCAUGUUUAGUUAUUUAGAUUGUCUCUUU